GUAUUUUGCAUUAUAAGCAGUCAACCUGACUACAAACUAUCAUUAUUUGUAUUCCGUGUGGAAAGAGGUCGGGUCAAUUUCGAGUGUUAUCUGACAUCUAAAGAUUCUUUAAUUAGUUCAGACGUUGAUAUAACAAUGAAAAGUCGACUGAACAUGAUUAAUAUUGCAUCUUCUAUAAUUCAAAGCGGAAUUCGGUUUAUGAACGAGAAACCGUAAAGCGUUUUCAAUUUCGGUAUUAGUUAUGUAUGUUGUCUACGUAUUAUCCUGGUUCCCGGUACUACGUUCCGGGUAUUAGCUAUUUGAUAUACUUGAUGUGUAACAUUACGAUCAGGUACCAGCCAAUCUACGUGUGUAUGUGUACAUGAUUUCCCGCCAAAAUGACCGACUUACAGCUAUGAGAAAAUAGUCCAUAAACGUUCCGUAUAAUGAUAUGCAAAUUCAUAAUUAAUCGUAACUUUUUUUUAUCUUUGUAUAAUAAAUAUAACAAAAUGGAUUCCACAAAAUUGAAAAUAGCAUUAUUUUACGAGGAUUUCUAAUAUUUUUUUCUCACUUCCGGGCGCAGUAAUACGUAUGUUUUGAAGAAGCUCGAAGAAAUUUGACAAAGUGAAUUGAGAAGGAAACGGAUAGAUAUACGUCCUUGCUAUCAGGUAAAACAAUUUAAAUGUACAGAACAAACACAUUUACUUCACACAAAUAGUACAGGCUUAAGCUUUUUAUUGUCUUAUACACGACUGUAGUCUAGUGUUUAAACGACGGCGGUGACCUACAAGGUACGGGUCAUACUGGGUCAAGUCUAAAUAUGUAAACAUAUCCACGUGCUAUUAGGUAGAAAGCAUCGUAAUGCAAUAUCUACAAUUUUUCCUCCUUUAUACAUCGUUUAACCAGUUAUAUUUCUCCUUUAUACAUCGUUUAACCAGAUAUAUUUCUCUUUCAAAUACACUUAAACACGGG
rnacentral:lncRNA from 1 species